GACGAACGCUGGCGGCGUGCUUAACACAUGCAAGUCGAACGGAAAGGCCCUGCUUUUGUGGGUUGCUCGUUUGGCGAACGGGUGAGUAACACGCGAGUAACCUGCCCUUGACUUUGGGAUAACUUCUGGAAACUGGGGCUCAUACCCGAUAUGAUCUUCUGCUGCAUGGUGGGGGUUGGAAAGUUUCGGCGGUUGGGGAUGGAUUCGCGGCUUAUCAGCUUGUUGGUGGGGUAGUGGCUUACCAAGGGUUUGACGGGUAGCCGGCCUGAGAGGGGUAACGGCCACCUGGGGACUAAGGGACGGACCAGAAGCGUACGGGAGGCAGCAGUGGAGAAUAUUACGGAAUGGGGGGAAGCCUGAUGCAGCAACGCCGCGUGCGGGAUGACGGCCUUCGGGUUGUAAACCGCUUUGGAAUGUGACGAAGAGUGAGUGACGGUAAUGGGUAAAGAAGCACCGGCUAACUACGUG
rnacentral:rRNA from 1 species